AGAUACUCCUCACAGGUAGAUUCUACAGUAACUAGGUAGAUUCCCUAACAGGUAGAUUCUAUAGUAACUAGGUAGAUUCCCUAACAGGUGGAUUCUACAGUAACUAGGUAGAUUCCAUAACAGGUGGAUUCUACAGUAACUAGGUAGAUUCCGUAACAGGUAGAUUCUACAGUAACUAGGUAGAUUCCCUCACAGGUAGAUUCUACAGUAACUAGGUAGAUUUCCCUAACAGGUGGAUUCUACAGUAACUAGGUAGAUUUCCCUCACAGGUGGAUUCUACAGUAACUAGGUAGAUUCUACAGUAAUCAGGUAGAUUCCCUUCACAAUGAGAGGUGCUUGUGUGCAACCAGUAGUUAGUAAUCAAAGACAUCGCUAAGGCAGGUUUGGUU